AACUGUUUGAUUUUCUGAUUUCUUUAUGCUUGCAGAGAGGUUCCACGACUUCAGUUUGGCUAUCAUCAAAAUUGGAGGAGAGCCCGAUGCAUUGGAGAGCAUCAUCCGCGAGUUCCACAGGAUCGAAUUGAGGAGGCAUUAUAACCUGACAUCAUUUGGAUGACUUUGUCAGUAGGAAGAAUGGCUAACAUGCCUAUUAAAGCUAGAUAAACGCGUAUUGAAGGAACUGGGGUAUGUUCGCCAUGUUUGAACACCCUCACAAUGACGGGUUUUGUGAACUCCAUUUGCGGAGGGAGCUUAAGUGCAAUUUCGUUUCAGGGAGAGCAGGUGCAUAUUUCUCCUUUUAGGCUGAUACUUCAGUACUCGUCAAUAUUUCUCCUUUUUAAAGCUAUGCUACAAAUGCUUAAGUACAACUUCAGGUUUCAGUUACAGUUAAUGCGCAUUGGCCAUGUUCUUAACUUUUGAUCCAUGGAGACAUCGCAUGUUUUGUACUAUGUUUUGUUGUACUGAGAAGCUGCAAAGCGCAAGCCGCAUGUUCAUAUAGGAGGGCAUCUCGGAAGAGAUGGGGUGAAUGAUCUAAAUAAUUUUUGAGACGCGGUAAUUCUAAAUCUAUCCCUCAGCCAUUUGCGAUCUGGCACCCCCCAACACAGAUAAGUACACGGUGCUUACCAUAAUUUACUUUUGCCUUUAUAGUAGUCCUCAUAAAUGUUUAGUGUUGAGUGUCUCAUAUCCAGCAUAUUAGUAGAAGAGCAUGCGAGAUUGGAGAGUUAUGUUUGUUGAUGGGAUUCAUUGUGCUGGUUAAAGUCAUAAUAUAUCAGCAGGUAUGACAUGGGAUUCAUUGUUCUCGUUAGAUGAGAUAUAUCAUCUGGUAAAUCAUUGGAUACAUUUCAACGUAUUGGAUUAUUUUGUUCUGAAUUAUUUAGUCAGCAGUUCGAAUUAUGGGAAAGUCAAAAAUAUAAUUUUGCCUGGCAUCUUGUACUGUUCCAAAUGGGAUUGAUGUAUAUUGAGAACUGAGGUUGGUCAGAUUCCCAAUUUAUAUUAAUACAGCGUAUACAAGAUUACUUGUGCUUACCAUCUUGUCCGGUGCGUUCCAAUUCAAUGCAAUUUAAAGUAUUUUGGCUGAUAUGUUGUAUGCCUCAUAGUUGGAUAUAUGGCAGAUUGAGCACAAGGAACAUAAUAUACAACCGCCCGUGGCGGGGCGUGUGGCCAGUGCUUGCGACAACUACGGAUGGAGUACAGGACCUGUGGUGGGUGCCCAUCUACACGAUCAACAUGACCUUCUUGGUUCGGCUACCCAUGAUUGUCGUUGUCGCGUGAUUUGUCAUCAAGGUCCAUGUUGUUUCCUCUGACGCCGGCUUCACGCUUUCCUCGUUUGCUAUUCAUAUUAUGAACC